ACCGUGCCCAGAGCUCUGCGUGGAUGAAGGAAGCAGGAGGGCCGGCGGUGGACGGGUCCUGAUGGCACUGCAGCCCUGCUCAGAUGAAAAAACCCUGAGCCUACACUCGGCCUUGCCAGUCGCUGUUUCCUGUCACUUGCGAUGGCCUCUUCCCAGGACGGAUAUUUCUGAUGAUGUCAGUGAAGUUACCUGUGUGCAACUGUGGAGUAAUCCAUUGCAGGCAGCUGUGGAGCUCUCUGUGGAAAAAUAAGGAGUGAAAAAUGAAUAAUGCUUCCACA